rnacentral:rRNA from 1 species
CAAUAGCGUAUAUUAAAGUUGUUGCAGUUAAAAAGCUCGUAGUUGAAUUUUUGCUUGCCGCCGAUGUCGGAACUUCCGUACGUUCGGCGGCGUGCAUCCUUGGGUGGAACCUGUGUGGCAUUAGGUUGUCGUGCAGGGGAUGCUCAUCGUUUACUGUGAAAAAAUUAGAGUGUUCAAAGCAGGCUUACGCCGUUGAAUAUAUUAGCAUGGAAUAAUAAGAUAGGACCUUGGUACUAUUUUGUUGGUUUGCGCACCGAGGUAAUGAUUAACAGGGACAGUUGGGGGUAUUCGUAUUCCAUUGUCAGAGGUGAAAUUCUUGGAUUUCUGGAAGACGAACUACUGCGAAAGCAUUUACCAAGGAUGUUUUCAUUAAC